rnacentral:rRNA from 1 species
AGUGAACGCUGGCGGUAGGCCUAACACAUGCCAGUCGAACGGCAGCACAGUAAGAGCUUGCUCUUACGGGUGGCGAGUGGCGGACGGGUGAGGAAUACAUCGGAAUCUACUUUUUCGUGGGGGAUAACGUAGGGAAACUUACGCUAAUACCGCAUACGACCUACGGGUGAAAGCAGGGGAUCUUCGGACCUUGCGCGAUUGAAUGAGCCGAUGUCGGAUUAGCUAGUUGGCGGGGUAAAGGCCCACCAAGGCGACGAUCCGUAGCUGGUCUGAGAGGAUGAUCAGCCACACUGGAACUGAGACACGGUCCAGACUCCUACGGGAGGCAGCAGUGGGGAAUAUUGGACAAUGGGCGCAAGCCUGAUCCAGCCAUACCGCGUGGGUGAAGAAGGCCUUCGGGUUGUAAAGCCCUUUUGUUGGGAAAGAAAGGCAGCAGGUUAAUACCCCGCUGUUCUGACGGUACCCAAAGAAUAAGCACCGGCUAACUUCGCG